AGCCCAAAUAUCACCAGGUUCUGUGUGUCUCAGUCGCCACUGUUAGAACUGUUUGUUGUGUGAGAACUCUUUUGCCUUGCAACCUUCAAGGAAAGGGCUUCUCUCUUUGCUGCUCCUCCAACUCCAUCUCGUGGUUUACUCUCUGCGCUUAGCAGCUCAAAUGGUUGUCAGCCCAUUUUUCUUCACGAAAUUGCAGUUUCUUGGGCUCAGAUGAAAUGGGAGUGAAAUGUAGUGGGAUGGUCCUCUCUCCUCUGUGAAGUCAAUUCUCAAGGCAAAAAUUCAUAGGACAUAAUAGUGGGAGCAUGAAGCAGAGGAGUUGGAAAAGUUUAUUAUACCAGUUGGAUUCCUGAUUUCACAUGGCUUCAGGAAGCAGACAACCUUACUCAUAUGAAGUCAAACAAACUGAUUUAAGACUCUAUAGUGGCCUAUAGCAGUAAAAUUUUUGUACUCUGUAGCAUUAGAUGACUCGGUAUUUCUUUGCAGAUUGUUAUGACGAAGAAUUUUGAUAUGCCCCUUGAACCAUUGUUUCUGUUUUUCUGCUUUGAUUA